ACCCACUUCACAUAGAGCCUCUUAAAAUAGGCCUAUAUAUUUUUCUAAAAAUGAUAUACUCUCCUAAGUAAUUAAAUACUAACGUCUUUUCAAAUAAUCGUGCCCUUCCCCAAUGUAAGACUUUGUAGGCCUACAUUUAGGUUUAUAGCCUAUGCAAUGACCAUUGGGCCAUAGCAGUGUGUUUGUCCAAAGUCGACGGAGUGCAGUGCAGUGUUGCAAUUUCCUUUUUCGUCACAAAACGAGUGGCUCCUUGUAAUAUGCUUCGUUCUUCAACGCUGUUUUAUUCUACCUGGAAAUUGAAACUCAACGUAUCAUUCCUUGCGAAGACUGAGGGGAAGUAUUGAGUGUUGGAAGGGGAUGGUGUUUUGGACAGUCCAGAGAUGGAGCAGAGCCCUGAGGGCCAAUCUACAGAUGGUUCAUCGGCCCUUGAGUUAUCAUCUCCCUGGCCUGGUUCAUCACCUCUCCGGCCCAUUUCCCAACCCCCAUGCCCUUCUCACCAACAGCCAAUGUACCGUCCAGGUGCCCCCUUGCUCUCUGCAGCUGGCUCUGAUUGUAGUGUAAUAAAACAGGCAGGCAGCGUCUCGUCUGUGGUGGUCAGCGAACUUGGUGGUCAACCUUCUGGCCUGUAGCCCUGCGUGGCAUCGACUGUGCCAGAAAAGCAUGCUGAAGUGAUAGUCGAUAUUUACUCUUAUAAAUAAAGGGUCUCUACAGUUA